AUUCCUGUCCGGUUCCAACAACUCGUCGUCCGUCAGUUCCUUAGGAACCACCUCCAGGAGCUUCUCAACGUCGUUCUCACCCAGGUUAAAGUUGUUUGCCGUCUCAGCCACGGCCUUGUUGACUUUUGCAGCCUCCUCAUCCUUGGCAAAUCCUUUGGAGUCAUAUACGAACCUCCUGAGUGUCUUCUUCCAGAUGCCAUUCAUACACUCCUUGGUGACAUGACUCCAAGCCCAAGCAACGUUCUUGAUGUAGUCGUAGAUGUUGUAAUCCUUCCAGAACUGCAUCAGUGUCUUCCUCAUGUUACUGAACCAGGAUCGCAGCUGCGGUGGAAUGGGACAUGCCUGACUGAAACCCACCUAAGGAGUGAUGUCAGCAAAAUGGAGG
rnacentral:lncRNA from 1 species